AACGAACGCUGGCGGCAUACCUAACACAUGCAAGUCGAACGAGACCUUCGGGUCUAGUGGCGCACGGGUGCGUAACGCGUGGGAACCUGCCCUUAGGUUCGGAAUAACUCCCCGAAAGGGGUGCUAAUACCGGAUAAUGUCUUCGGACCAAAGAUUUAUCGCCUUUGGAUGGGCCCGCGUUGGAUUAGCUAGUUGGUAGGGUAAAAGCCUACCAAGGCGACGAUCCAUAGCUGGUCUGAGAGGAUGAUCAGCCACACUGGGACUGAGACACGGCCCAGACUCCUACGGGAGGCAGCAGUGGGGAAUAUUAGACAAUGGGCGAAGGCCUGAUACAGCAACGCCGCGUGAGUGAUGAAGGCCUUAGGGUUGUAAAGCUCUUUUAGCCGGGAUGAUAAUGACAGUACCGGGAGAAUAAGCACCGGCUAACUCCGUG
rnacentral:rRNA from 1 species